rnacentral:lncRNA from 1 species
GAACGCCACACGUAACCUUGGCUGCAUUUUAAUCAUCAUCGGCCGAGUGUCUCCGUUGGUCAGACUGAGUUCUUAGACGACUGCACGUGCUGCUCGGGCUUGGGCUCGGGCUUGGCCACAUCAAUCAAAAAUAAUUUAUUUGAGAGCAAAGCCAGGGCCUCCAGCUAGAGCUUGGCCAUCUAAGAUAUGGCCAAAGCGUCACACGUAUCCGAGUGCAG